GAGUUUGAUCCUGGCUCGAACGAACGCUGGCGGCGUGCUUAACACAUGCAAGUCGUGCGAGAACGGGACCCUUCGGGGUCCUCAGUAAAGCGGCGGACGGGUGAGUAACACGUGAGUAACGUACCCUGGAGCGAGGGAUAACCAUCCGAAAGGGUGGCUAACACCUCAUGAGACUACGGAGGCUCCGGCUUCUGUGGUCAAGGCCCUCUCAGGCGCUCCGGGAUCGGCUCGCGGCCCAUUAGGUAGAUGGUGAGGUAAGGGCUCACCAUGCCGAAGAUGGGUAGCUGGUCUGAGAGGAUGAUCAGCCACACUGGGACUGAGACACGGCCCAGACUCCUACGGGAGGCAGCAGUGGGGAAUCUUGCGCAAUGGGGGCAACCCUGACGCAGCAACGCCGCGUGAGUGAAGAAGGCCUUCGGGUCGUAAAGCUCUGUCAGGAGGGAAGAACGGCCCCGAGACCCGGGGCGUGACGGUACCUCCAGAGGAAGCACCGGCUAACUCCGUGCCAGCAGCCGCGGUAAUACGGAGGGUGCAAGCGUUGUUCGGAAUCAUUGGGCGUACAGAGCGCGCAGGCGGCCCGGCAAGUCCGAUGUGAAACCCCGAGGCUCAACCUCGGAGGCGCAUUGGAAACUGUCGGGCUUGAGUCCGAGAGGGGCCCGUGGAAUUCCCGGUGUAGGGGUGAAAUCCGUAGAGAUCGGGAGGAACACCAGCGGCGAAGGCGACGGGCCGGAUCGGGACUGACGCUGAGGCGCGAGAGCGUGGGGAGCGAAGAGGAUUAGAUACCCUCGUAGUCCACGCCGUAAACCAUGUUCACUAGCAGUGGUGUCCGUUAGGGUGCUGUUGCGCAGUUAACGCAUUAAGUGAACCGCCUGGGGAGUACGGCCGCAAGGCUUAAACUCAAAGGAAUUGACGGGGGCCUGCACAAGCGGUGGAGCAUGUGGUUUAAUUCGAAGCAACGCGAAGAACCUUACCUACGUUUGACAUCCCGCGGACCCUCCCGAGAAGGAGGGGUGCCCUCCGGGGAGCGCGGUGACAGGCGCUGCAUGGCUGUCGUCAGCUCGUGCCGUGAGGUGUUCGGUUAAGUCCGGCAACGAGCGCAACCCCUAUCCUUAGUUGCUACCACUAUCAGGUGGGCACUCUAGGGAGACUGCCGUGGUAAACACGGAGGAAGGUGGGGACGACGUCAAGUCCUCAUGGCCCUUAUGCGUAGGGCUACACACGUGCUACAAUGGCCGGUACAGAGGGUCGCGAGGCCGCGAGGCUGAGCCAAUCCCGCAAAGCCGGUCUCAGUACGGAUUGCAGUCUGCAACUCGACUGCAUGAAGACGGAAUCGCUAGUAAUCGCGGAUCAGCAAUGCCGCGGUGAAUCGUUUCCCAGGCCUUGUACACACCGCCCGUCACACCAUGGAAGUCGUUUGCUCCAGAAGUCGGUGACCCAACCAUGUGAGGGAGCCGCCGAAGGAGUGAGCGGUGACUGGGGUGAAGUCGUAACAAGGUAGCCG
rnacentral:rRNA from 1 species